GUGGCUGGUCAUAAUCACCGUUGCCUAUAGUGACGGCGGUAGCGUCCCCCUCGCUGGUGAGAGCCACUUAAGUGACAGACUCGUCCCCCACAGAUGGGGGUGUAGUCAGAACACGACUGAAUACAUUAAACGCCCGGCUGUCACGAGUUUAGCGUUGUAUUCGUACUACCGCUGCCAUUCGCGGUCUCGGAGUAGUGUAAUAUGUGACGUCUUGGUUACUUUGACACGACCAGAUGGCGGCUGGCUGCUGCUAAUCUACUUAGGAGCGUGCGUGUGUGUGUGCGGCUUGUUUGCACCGGCAGAGACGAGACGAGACGAGACGAGGAGGAAACGAGCCCUCAAACUUCUGUUUUGUUUUCUUGCCAUUUGUUUGUCUUAAAACCAGAAAUUGAACAGAGGAAACUAUUCCAAGUCGAUAAGGGCAUUUUUUUUUCUUUCCCCGUCUGGUCGCGUGCUUGGUUGUUUGGCUACAAAUCCAGGUAGCUAAUUAGCCCGAAGUUCGUUGAAUCAACAAGUUGGACUUUUUAUGGAUCAACACAACAUGUAAAUGCGGACGGAGCCUUUUGUCACGGAAGGUUGUGAAAUCCUAGCUAUCAUGCGAAGGCUUUGGUUGUGGCUGGUGUGUGCGGUGGACACAGCCAGUGCAACCGAGACCUAAGCUUUGCACCUUCACCCUUGAGGGCACUGGCCUGUAAAAAAAUGUCUCUGUAACCCUGCAACCAUGACACCAUGCCAGUCAUCACUUAUUCAAGCGCUGUUGGGAGGCUUCCAAGGCAUCUCCAAAUUCUGGAACAUCCCACUGGCCUCAGGAAUGUUCCUAAAAUUUGUGUUGUCUCACAAUGUAGAACCUCAGGUUCUGUCAUCUUUUAGGGUCACGGGAGUCCACAAAAAUGACAGAAUCGCAAAGAACGGAAAGUUACAAAUGAAGAGGGGAACAUGGAGCACAAGAACUAGUCAAAUGAUUGGAAGACGACACGAAUUAUGGAUUGACUGUAACUGGGAAGUUGGAAAAGCUGAUGAAGAUGCUGCUGGGAUUCCAUUAAUGGGAGUGGCAAGAGAUGAUCAACUCCGGCGGGACAAAAACAAGAGCAGGAGCUAUGAAUGUCCUCUUAAAAACUGUACAGGAGAACAUGUAAAGAGAGACGAUGAAGUAAUGUUGGUGAUGAGGUGGCAACCCAUCUUCCUCUGCAUAUGUUUCCUCUUCAUCGGUCUCUGUCCAAAACCUGCUUUAUCACAGGGACAUUUCCCACCAAUGGAGAACAUUGCUGCCUUCAAACCCGUGUCCACCUCCCCAGCUCGUUCUACCUGUGGGGUUCCGGAUCGGAGUGUCUACUGCCAGACAGAUUCCUCACAGACUGAGCUUCUGAUUUGCCAUCAGGCCUCCUGUGACCAGGAGUGUCCCUAUAGAUCCACUAUGCCACCUUAUGCCCCACUACUACUGCCUGCCUACAGGGGUGCAUGCAUCACAGAAGACUCUACAGACACACGUCCUACACUCCAUCAGACAUCAGAGUUGGACAGUUUGACCACCUCUAUGUCAAGUGGGGUUUCAGCUGUAUCCGGUAGUGUUAUGUUUCCUCAAGUCCAGCAGGAAUGUCUGCUGUCUCCCCCCUCUCAGAAACUGGGAGCUUCGGGAUCCCUCACCCUAGCAUUAUGGAUUAAACCAAGCUCUCCAGGAGAGAUGAUACUGCUGGAGAAAAACUCGGGGGACCAGUUAGUCUUUUCAGUGACAGUGUCGGAACAGGUUCUGAGUAUGCAGUACACUCAGUCCAGAAGUUCAACUCCGCUGACCAUCAGCUUCAGAACAGAGGGACGACUUGUGACGGACAGGUGGACCCACAUUGUUUUACAGGUGCACGACAGACAUGUCAGUCUUUUCUUGAAUGGGCUGGAGGAGGAUGGGACACCCUUUGAGACCCGAUCACUGGCCACCAGAUUGCAUGACAGCAAUGAGGACAGCACCAUGAGGGUGGGACUCGGUUCCAAAGGGUCCAAUCAGUACAUGGGGCGGAUGCAGGACUUUAGAUUUUAUCCUGCCACUUUGACCAACAGGGAAAUAGUGGAGAUUUAUUCAGGUGCCCUGCCACAGCUCCAUUCCCAGUCUGAGUGUCGCUGCCCUCCCACUCAUCCCAGAGUGCAUCCUUUAGUAGAACGAUAUUGUAUCCCCAAUGCUGUUGAGGACACCACCAAUGACAGAGUCUUAAGACUAAACCUCAUUGCACAUCCUCUCGCUUACAUCAACGAUCAGGACAUGGGCACAGUGUGGCGCUCAAAGCUCAUGACCACACAGGAAUUGGACAAAGGAUUCACUAUUACUGUGGAUUUGGCAAAUGGACAGUACCAGGUAUUCUAUGUCAUAGUUCAGUUUGGUGGCCCAUUGCCUGAGUCACUUUUGAUCCAAAGGCAAAGACUCCCUGAUCAACAGAACAGCACCAACAGAGAGCAGCCCUGGCUGGACUGGCAGUAUGUGGCUAAAGACUGCAGUGUGUUUGGAAUGCAGAACAAUGGGCCACUGCUGACACCGGACUCAGUCAACUGUCUCCAACUGCCCAGCGAGGUCCACUACUCUGAAGGUAACAUCACAGUCAGCCUGCUGAGCCCAGAGCCAAACAUGAGGCCAGGCUACAAUGAUUUCUACAACACCCCCACCCUUCAGAAGAUGGUAGAUACCACUCAGGUACGGCUACACCUUAGGGGACAAUACUACACCAGAGCAGCCGGAGUGGACCAGCGACACAGACAUUAUGCCAUCAAAGAAAUCACCAUCAGUGGCAGAUGUGAGUGUCAUGGCCAUGCAGAUCACUGUGAUACCAGCGUGUCCCCCUAUCGCUGCCUGUGUCUGCCUGAAAGUCACACUGAGGGAAACAAUUGCCAGCGUUGUGCGCCCCUCUACAAUGACAAACCCUUCCGGCCAGGUGAUCAGCUCCAGCCAAUGAACUGUCGGCCUUGCCAGUGCAAUGGCCACGCCCACUCCUGUCACUAUGAUGCCUGGGCUGAUGACCAACCAACGGAACAAUAUCUGGGAGGAGGAGGAGUCUGUGACAACUGCAUGCACAAUACAAUGGGUAGGAACUGCGAGCUCUGUGUAAGUGGCUUUUUCAGGCUGGAGCAAUCAGAUCCUGCUUCAAUCCAUGUGUGCCAGCUCUGCUACUGUCACACUGCUGGAACUCUCAAUGGCAGCACUGAGUGUUUCCAGGUUGGAGGCCAGUGUCAGUGUAAGGCUGCUGUAACGGGGCGGCGCUGCGCAGACUGCUCACCUGGCUUUUAUGGUCUUCACGCUUCCAAUCCAGAGGGCUGCACUCGCUGUAAAUGCAGUGAAAUAGGUGCCAUCAGCUCCUCCACAGGAAGUGUUGCCAGCUGCAACCAGCAUACAGGGCAGUGUCAGUGCAAAGCGCAUGUGACAGGCCUGUCUUGCGAUCGUUGUGAAUUUGGUUAUUGGAACCUGUCCCGCUCGGACGGCUGCAUCCCAUGCGACUGCAACCCCUCGGGAUCCCUCAGCCCGUUCUGUGAGCCCGAGGGGGGCCAGUGUGCGUGUAAGCCUGGGGUGGGGGGCCAGCGCUGUGAUUCAUGUGGCCGUGGUUUGACUGGUUUGAGGCUGGAGGGAACCUGCAGCGCCUGCAACUGCUCAAUAGAAGGAACAGUACCUGGGACAGACUGUGAUCCUCACACAGGCCAAUGUGUGUGCAAGGAAUAUGUGGAAGGCCAUCUCUGUGACUCUUGUCGUCAUGGUUACCACACCUUGGAGCUCCGAAACUCCCUGGGUUGUCUGCCGUGCGCAUGUGACAUUAACGGCACGGUGCCGGAGGGAAUAUGUGACAUGGGGACUGGACAGUGCCCGUGCAGAGACGGGGUGGAGGGGAUGCAGUGCACCAACUGUGCCCGCAACUACUUUCACACAAGUUCAGAUAUACAGAACGGGUCAUUCCAGGGCUGUGCACAGUGUACAUGUGACCCAAGAGGAACAGUGGCUGGCUCAGUGUGUGACAGCACCACAGGGCAGUGUGUGUGCACGCCAACACGCUAUGGAAAAGACUGCAGAACAUGCCAACCUGGUUUCUACCUUUCCCUAGAUCAGACUAUGUGUGUGGAGUGUGACUGCCAUCCCAUGGGGGCAGUACAACGCAAGUGUGAAAGCCAAACUGGCCAGUGUGUGUGUGCCCAUCCCUCGGUGAGAGGGCGACGCUGCGACCACUGUCGGGAGACCUUCUUUGGAUUCAACCCUGGCCUGGGAAGAUGUCAACCAUGUGCAUGUGACCCUGUGGGCAGUGUCAAUGGCUCCUGUACUUCAGAUUUAGGAGUGUGUGAGUGUAAACUGCUGGUUACUGGGGACAAAUGUGAUGCAUGUCAACAUGGAGCAAGCCAUUUACGUGCAGAGAACGUCUAUGGCUGCAGUAAAGCCCCAUCGCAGCAACCUGCCCCUGUAGCCUUUUCUCUCAGUUUUUCUUCCAUUAAUCUGACUUGGCAUCAGCCUGACUCCCCAAACUCAAACACUCUCAACUACACUCUCAUGAGGGACUGGCAGGCUGUGCACAGCAUACAGCGCAGCUAUCCUUUCUGCCCUGAAUUGUUCACAGACGCUGGUUUGUCCCCUUACACGAACUAUUCCUACUGGCUUAUUACGGCUAAUGUAGCCGGUGAGACCAUUAGUGCAACUUCUUCGUACCAAACUUUAGGAGCUCCACCUGAAUUGGACCUGCUCCAUUUAAACCUUGUGGGACGACCUGGCCCCACCAGUGCUAGCUUUAACUGGAGUGCACCACCGAAUAACACAGGCCCAGUGGAGCGGUUUGUAUUGUCCUCCACAGAGUCUUCUAGCGGAGCAGAGCCUGUCAUCCACUACACAGGUUUAUUGACUGAGGCAGUGGCAAGUGGCCUAAAAGCCUUCACCCAGUACACUGUCACUCUGCAGGCAUGUUCAUCUGGAGGCUGCACUUCUACUUUACCUUUGUCACUUCUGACAGCUGCUGCCCUCCCACAAAACCAAUCCGCUCCCAAGGUCACUGCCACCGGACCUCACACUCUGUUCGCUUCAUGGGAGCCUCCCGCUCAGCCAAACGGAGUUAUCACAAGGUAUGAGCUGUUUUUACGGGGGCUGGCAGAGCCUCACAGCCUGUCAACUCUGACUGGUGAAAAAAGAGUUUUUGUCAGCACUGGAUGGCUGGAUCCAAGCACCCUGUCUCAAGCGCAGCUCAUCAAUAGGAGCACAGCUUUUCCCCCUGAGAGCAGUACCAUUGUGAGCGGUCUGCAGGCAUUUUCCACCUAUCAGAUGAGAGUCGUUAGCGUCAAUAUGGCAGGAAAUGUCACAUCAGGGUGGACCACCGCACGCACAAUGGAGGGAGUUCCAGAGUUGAUGCCUCCUCCAGAUGUGACUGCACUGUCCUCCACCAGUCUUAAGGUCACAUGGAGUACUUCUGAAGGUCAAGGGGUCAUUGCCAGAGGGCAGGUCAUAGAAUAUUGUGUCAGUUUGGAGACUGAACAGACCAACAUCUAUGCUCCUCCAGUUGUUAGCCAAGUCCUGCAGCGGUUUGGACCCUCAGCCAAGUCCCUUUAUAUAGUAAAAGGGUUGAAGCCUUACCAUGUGUACAACUUUACUGUGACACUUUGCACUAAAAAAGGCUGCAUUACCAGCCUUGCCAGCUCUGGUCAGACUCAACCAGCAGCUCCAACAGGACUUUCACCACCUCGACUAUUCCCAGUCAAUGAAACCACCAUUCAGAUAGAGUGGGAUGUCCCAUCUCAACUCAAUGGACCACAUCCGAUGUACCAGGUGGAGAGGACAGACGUUUCUGUUUCAGACCCCCAAGGCCCUUUCAUCAGAGGUACCAGGUUCUCUGGCACUGGUUACUACCAGUUUCCCAGUGACUCCCUGCCUUUUAACACUGACUUCAAUGGUGUUGAAUUGAGUUUCAAGACUCACUCUCCAGAUGGGUUGCUGGUCUGUGCCCUGUCUCCUGGAAAUCAGGAAGAAUUUCUGGCUAUCCAGAUAAAAAACGGACGUCCCUACUUUUUGUUUGACCCUCAGGGCUCAGUGGUGACUGUGAGUGCACAAGGGGAUGGGGGGCGCCACUACAACGAUGGAAAAUGGCACCACAUCAUAGCAACAAGGCGAGGGGCCGUGGGAACAAUCGUUGUGAACAAUCAAUACAGAGGAAGUUCUUCAGCCUUCAGUGGCAGCACUAUAAUUGGUGAGAAUACAGGAGUGUUCAUUGGAGGACUGCCGGAAGAUUUAACUCUGCGACGGACAGAUUCAGGGGUUGCCCGACUGAUGCGACAGGGUUUCUCUGGUUGCCUGAGAGACGUGCGUUUCAAGAUGACUGACAGCCCCUCGGAUGAGUGGAGAUCUCUGGACUGGACAAAAGCCACAAAUAAAAUAUCAGCCUGUGAAAGCUGGGAGGGAUGCCCGAUUCAUACUGUGGAUGGAGCCCAUUUUCUGGGUCAUGGUUACCUGGAGUUAAACAGAGAUGUGUUUCGUGGAGGACAGGACUUUGACAUCUCAAUGGAGUUUAGAACAGACCAACUCAAUGCACUUUUGCUCUUUACAUACAACACACAGACUGAUGAUUAUAUGCUGGUGGAGCUGAAGGGUGGCCUCCUGUCAGUCCUUCUCUCCACCGGAGGUCACGUGACUGAUCUUAGCAUGUGGGUGGGGCUUAGCUACUGUGAUGGAGACUGGAAGCAGCUUUCACUGGCAAAACACAGCGCACUCAUCUCGGCUGCUCUCGAUGACUGGGCAGAGGAGACGAGGGGAGCAGGAGCAGCAGGGAGGCUUAGCGUUGACUCACCAUUAUACCUGGGUGGGGUGCCUACUCAACUCACACACACUGCUCUGGACAUCCACAGUCUCAGACACGGUUUUGGAGGUUGCAUGAGAGGCCUCACCAUUCAAAGUGAUAAAACAACCCCUCCUGUCAGUCAAAGUGUUCAUCUCUCUGUAGCCUCGGGACGCGCUGUUAGAAUCUACCUCGAUGGCUGUCCUAACAGUGAAAGUCGUUACAACUGCCGGGGCAAUGAUUCAGUGUUGGCCUUCACUGGUAGAGAGACGCAUGCCUUUGAUUACAGUCUGCAGCCAUUCACUGAAUACUUGUACAGAAUUAUAGCUUUGGGAGCAGGAGGAGGGACAGCCUCGCCUUGGCAGAGAGGACGCAGCCGCGGCAAAGUUCCAAGCUACAUUCCACCUCCCUCCGCAGUGCAGAUUUUGAAUGGCUUCAGUGCCAAGGUGAGCUGGGCUCCACCUACCGGUGAUGUCAGAGGUGUGAUUGACAGGUAUGAGUUGCGAGCCUACAAGAGGGAGCAGCCAGAGAUGCCACCACUUAAAGCCAUAUACCCGGCUAAUGGCAAUUUCACAGGUGUGUUGUUUGGUCUUACUCCGUCCACGCAGUACGUGGUCACUGUAAGUGCUUGUAUUGCGACUGGCUGCACAGAGAGUCUUCACAAUGACAACGCUGAUGUUACUGAUUUGAGAUCAGUUCUGAAAACCCCAGAGGAAGCUCCUGAUGCUGUUUCUCCUCCAACUGCACUCUCAACACCCGCUGCUCUUUUUAUCACCUGGAAACCUCCAGCAAGGCCCAAUGGAGUAAUUACAGAGUACCGUCUCUAUCAAAAUAACCAAAUGGUCUACAGUGGGGAGGAGAGACACCAUAACAUUACUGAGCUUGGCAUCUAUACUGCGCACGUCCUGGUACUGUCUGCAUGCACUGUGGUGGGAUGCACCAACAGUUCAAAGGUCACAAUGUUGACCUCUCAGCUUCCUCCCGGGCCUCUACAAGCGCCAACUCUGACCUUCCUCGACUCACGGACCAUCCUGGUGGAGUGGUCUCGACCUUUUCAGGUCAAUGGUGUUCUGGAGUUCUAUUCCAUCUUCGUUGCACAGGGUGAGACAGAGCCCGCCAUAGUCCACAACAGUUCAGAACUUGUUGAAGACCACACGCUCCGCAACCUCACUCCUGGCACGGGCUACACCAUCACAGUUGCUGCUUGCACAGGCGGUGGCUGCACCCGAAGCCCCCCUGCGCAGGCUGUUACUGAGGAAAGCACCCCAGAGAAUGUCCCAGCACCACUGGUCUCCCCUUUGUCACCACAUGCACUGAACGUCAGCUGGACAGCUCCUGAUACUCCAAAUGGCAUCAUAACGAGCUAUGGCCUUUGGAUGGAUGGUGUUCUUAUAUCAAACUCCAGUUCCUCCCAGAACUUUGUAGUGGUGAAGGAGCUUUCUCCAUGGAGCAGACACAUAUUCAGGCUUCAGGCCUGCACAACGCGUGGCUGUGGGAAGGGACCAAUGGUGGAAGUACGCACAUUAGCGAGGGCCCCAGAAGGCCCCAUACUGCUAGAAUUGACCAACCAGAGCUCUCGUUCAUUACGAGCCCGCUGGACUGCUCCACCAAGACCCAAUGGCUUCAUGAGAUACACACUCUACUGUAAAAGUGCAGUUGGCGAUGUGGUGCUGGACGGAGGCACAGCAGCCAGUAGGUGGUUGACUUUGACGGACCUGCAGCCGUACACCAACUACAGCUUCUGGGUCGAAGGUUGCAACACACAGGGCUGUGUCGAGAGCCCGUCGCUUAAUGUUACAACGUCUCCAGCAGCUCCAGACGGAUUGUCCACCUUGAGACUCACUUGCGCAACAAGCACCAGUCUAAAUGUGUCUUGGUCCGAACCAGCACACUCGAAUGCCCCGGGCCCUCUUCACUACAGUCUACAAAUGAGGACAUCACCCCAGAGACCCAUGAUAAGGCUCCUGGAAAAUGUGACGGAUGCUUUCUCCUUUUACGUGCCGGGCCUCUCUCCAUACACCCAGUAUCUAUUCCGACUGGUAGUCUCACACACAUAUGGACAGACGACAGGCCCCUGGGAAGCCCUCCACACAGCAGAGGACAGUCCAGGUCCACUCGACCCUCCGACUGUUGCAAGGCUUCAUUCUCGAAAUGUUACAGUCAUAUGGGUCCCACCCCCUCAACCAAAUGGCAAGAUACAAAGUUACAGCCUCUAUCUACAAUCUGGCUCUUUCUCUGCUUUAUACAACAAACCUGGUGCCAAUAUGGAACCCAACUCAAGCUUCAGUUCUAACCCAAGAGCGGAUCUUAAAAAUAUUUACUCAAGUCAAAACCUGAAGCCAGCAUCAGGUGUUACCAUAACUGCGUCAGAACGACACCUAUCAAAGGGCAUCCACACUCCAGAAUCCACUUAUACGAGUCAAGGGACUGGUCCAAACCUAUUACAAUCUAUAGAACCCACUGCCAUUGCAGGGAUGAACCAAAGACCUGCAGUGUCACAUCAACAAUACACUUCAAGCAGUCUGAAUGUUGAGCAUUUAAUCAAGCAAGAUGUCCUCCACUCCACCAAUUCAUCAAACUUUGGUUCAGGAUCUAGUCCAUCCCCUUCAUCAGUCAAGGUUUCUGGAAGCACCACAAGCUACACUUUCCUUCAUCUCGUGCCAUACCACUCCUACAACAUUCAGCUGGAAGUGUGCACCAGUGUGGGUUGUUCAGUGUCCAAAACUGUGCACUUUCGAACCUUGCCUGCUCCUUCUGAAGGCCUCCCCGCACCUCAUCUUUAUUCUGACACCCCCACCUCGGUUCUCCUGUCCUGGGGUGCACCACAGAGUCCCAACGGACUUUUGGAGAGGUGGCUGAUUGAACGCAGAGUUGCUGGAACAGAGCAAAUCUCCACAGUAGGCCAUCUUCCUCCAGACCCUCUUCCUCUUUCCUUUCUGGACUCCUCAUCAGCACUUAGUCCUUGGACAAGUUACCACUAUAGACUUGUUCUCCAGAAUCAGGCUGGAAGUUCCACAGGGCCUUGGGUAGGUAUCACCACCAGACCUUCCAGACCUGCUGGUGUGACACCACCGAGGGUGAAAGUAUUGGGACCAGAGUCACUACAGGUCACAUGGGCUGCACCUUUGAUUCCCAAUGGCGAGAUCCAAGGUUACGAGAUCCGUCUCCCAGAGCCCCGCAUCUUCCACAAUGGCGGCAACACGUCUGAGCUUGAUGUCACAAUAACAGCCCUAACUCCUUACACAAACUAUAGCGUUACUGUGCUGGUGUGUUCCGAGGGGGGUGGAUAUGUUGGUGGAUGCACAGAAAGUCUGCCCAUUCCAGCUACCACAUUACCCAGCAACCCCCAGGGCCUAGCACCGCUGUCAGUGGUGGCCGUCAGUGAGUCCUUCCUUGCUGUCUCUUGGCAACCUCCACACAGGCCCAAUGGACCAAAGAUCCGAUACAAGUUGCUACGACGUAAAAGCCACCAGCCGCUGGCCGUCACCGCGGUCCCCAUAGUAACAGCCCCAUCCCAUAACCCUUCCGAAGAUCUCCAUCGCUGGCUCCAUGUUUACUCCGGCACCAAAUUGUUCUACCAAGAUAAAGGCCUAAGCAGAUUCACCCACUACCAGUAUCAGUUGGUAGUCCACAAUGAUGUGGGGUUCACUUCAGGAGAGAUUGUCACUGCGGUCACCAUGGCUGGGAUUCCUCUCCACAGUCCAACUCUGUUUGCAUUUGCUGUCAAUCACACAGCACUUCACGCCAACUGGACCCCACCCUCCUUGUACAACCUGCAGGGUGAAGUGAAGUCAUACUUUCUUACAGUCAUCUCUGCCAACUCGAGACAAAACGUUGUCUUUCCCCCGGAAAUCCUCUCCACAAUGGUGACUGACCUUUGGCCCCAGACCACCUACACGGUGUCAUUACACGUGUCUAAUGGAGCACAUAAUACAACUAAGUCGAUAGUUAACGUCACAACAGAGGAUGGAGAGCCAGAUGGGAUGUCUGCCCCAGAGGUGGUUCCGGUUAACAGCAGCACUGUCCGUGUGCUCUGGUCUCCUCCUCUACGACCCAACGGAGUCAUUACUAGUUACAGAGUUUACCUUGAUGACCACAACCAUGUCAGCAUAGACAACAGCUCAGGGUCCUACCUGCUGGGCAAUCUGCUGCCUUUUACUGUUUACAACGUUCAGGUGGAGGUGUGCACCGUUUACGCAUGUGUGCGGAGUAAUGUUACUCAGACAACCACUGUGGAGGACCUACCUGCUGACAUGACCAUACCACAUGCACAAGUUCUCAGUCCAAGGGUUGUCCAGUUGGACUGGUCCCCCCCAGGCCGACCAAGUGGCAUCAUGCUAGGUUAUGAGGUCUUAAGACGGACCUUAGGGUCAUGUGGUUCUCGGUCAGCAGGAGUCACACCCUAUGUGAGGAAAGAGUCCAGAGAUGGAGGCGGUGUAGUUCUCAGUUGCUCCUACUUGCAGUGUCCAGCUAGUCAUCGUGUGUGCGGGACGACAUGCUUCCACCCUGACCAAGAGGUUUGCUGCACUGGAAUAUUAUAUCCUAAGAUGCCAAAUCAUUACUGCUGUGCAGGACACUAUAUUAGCUUUACAAAUUCCUCCAGUCCAGUCUGCUGCAAUGGCAAACUGUUGCCAUCUCUCCCAGACCACCACUGCUGUGGAGGAUAUUAUGUUCACCUGAAAGCUAAUGAAUAUUGCUGCCCCGACCAGUCGCAGGGCUGUGUCUCAGUGGGGCCUGGGGACAGCUGCUGUGGGGGCGCUCCCUACGCCACCAAAGGCGGACAGCUGUGCUGCAGUGGGAGCCUCCACGAUGGCUAUGGGGUUCAGUGUUGUGGAGGCCACAUUGUAGGUGAUGCUCUGGUCUGCUGUGGUGGUGCUGUGGAGGGUCAAGUGCAUACAUACAUUCCAGGUUUUUCCUGCUGUGGUCAAGAGUACAUCAACUCUUCUACGUCUCUCUGCUGCUUGGGCAGUGAUGGAGUUCCAACAAUACAUCCAUCGGGCAAUACCACAGUCAAAUUGCAGUGUUGUGGGUCAAAGGUUGUACUUCAAGAACAAGAAUGCUGCAAUGGAAUUGGUUUUGACGCGCAACGCCAUGUGUGUGCCAGCAGGCCCACACCAGGCCUUUUGAUGGAGAGUGGCUGUUUGCAGGGUGCUCUGUGUCCUGUGUCUACAUCCUCCACAGCUUACUGUGGCUCCUGUGACAUUGAGCCAUCUACGACUGCCUGCACAUGGGUUCUGUCUGCACAUGUUGACGCUCCCUCCGCUACACACACCCAUACAAUCCCCGCCACAUCUGAAGCACUCAUCACAGGGUCCUACACACAUAAAAACAUCAGUCAUCUGCACAAUGGCAUUCUGAGUUAUGAACGGAGUUUGUGCCCGUCCCAUGAGGAGGCAGUGUACAGCGGAGAUGCCAAAAGAUACACUUAUACAGAUUUGGACUUGGAGCCCUUCACCACCUACGAGUACAGAGUGAGGGGCUGGAACAGCUUUGGCCGGGGCACCAGUGACGUUAUCACGGUGACCACCGCUGAAGACAAACCAUGGGGGGUACCCCCUCCUCGAUGGAGACGUCUGGAAGAACGGAGUGACAUCAUCCAGUGGCAUUGGCAAACACCUGCUAGACCUAAUGGAGUCAUUACCCACUAUGUGAUACUGCGUGAUGGACAAGAGCGCUACCGUGGCCAAGAGAAUAGUUUCACAGACAUGAGUGGGAUCAGACCCUUCCAAGAAUUUACUUACCAGCUGCGGGCCUGCAACAGGGCUGGUUGCACUGAUAGUACAAAGAUGAUAGCAGUAACAGUUCAAGGAGUCCCAGAGGGGGUGCAGUCUCCAGCGGUAAGAGCGUUGAGCCCCACCUCUCUUCAAAUGAGCUGGUUCCGACCUGCACGUCCCAAUGGAAGAGUGCAGCGGUAUCACCUGAACCAGACCGGUGUUGGCACCAUAUUUACACACACAGAGGCACCUGGGAAUUAUACAGUGACUGGUUUGCAGCCAUUCACAGGCUACACGUUUGUGCUAGUGGCCUGCACAGCUGUGGGAUGUGGCACCAGUUCACCUUCCACAGGACGCACCCUGCAAGCCGCUCCCACUGGUGUGUGGUCGAGGCCCAGACACGUGAUAGUCAACUCAUCUGUGGUGGAACUGUACUGGCAUGAACCGGCCAGGCCCAAUGGACUUGUCUCCCGGUACAGACUGCGCAGAGGCGGUCACACUAUUUUUACCGGAGACUACCGUGACCAGAAUUAUACCGACACUGGACUCCUGCCGAACCGCAGGUAUGUUUAUGAACUGGAGGCCAUCACAGGCGGCGGUACUGGUUUGAGUGACAAAUAUGUUAUAAAAACACCAUACUCAUGCCCCUCUGGGAUCCCAGCUCCACACAAUGUGACAGUCACCGGCCCCCACUCCAUCUCCUUGGCCUGGACCCCUCCUGCCCACUUCAACAUUAGCCAUUCUGUAAGCUACAACAUUCUGUUGAAUCCUGGAAGUGGAGGUGCCACAAUACAUCCCACAGGCCAAGAGCUGGAGCUCACUUUAACAGUUCUUCAGCCCUUCACCACCUAUUAUAUCCGAGUGCAGGCUUGUCAGAGUGGGGGUUGUGGUGUAGGAGAGGGUGUGUAUGUUCGGACUUUAGAAACUGCACCAGAAUAUUUAUCGCCACCCUCAGUAACUGCAGCCGGUGCAACUGGCCUGGAGAUCCACUGGGCUCCCCCCAAAAAACCCAAUGGCAUCAUCACCUCCUACCAUAUAUACAGGUCCCCAGUGGAAACCGAGGAGGAACUGCUGGUUUUCAUCUGGUCUAGUGGACCACUAGAGUUUUUCGAUGCCAGCCCAUCCUUGCAGCCCUUCACCUACUACCAGUACAGGCUUCAAGCCCACAACUCUAAAGGCUCUGUUCUGAGCCAGAGGACGUUAACCCAGACCCUGUCGGCACAGCCAAACGAUAUGACCCCUCCCACUGCCACACCCACUGGUGCAUACUCUAUUCAUCUGAAAUGGACUGGACCAAAACAGCCCAAUGGUGUCAUUUCUCACUAUAAAUUACUUUACAAGAAGCACCAGCUGGACCCGACUUUGAGCUCACCGGCAGCGUCUGCGCUCACUGUGGAGGGUUCAAUCCUAGAAGCAAACGUCUUUGGCCUUGAGCCCUACAGCAAGUAUAGUCUACAAGUGGAAGCUGUAAAUGAAGCAGCCAGUGUGUCAAGUCCGUGGGUAGGCUCGAUGACCCUGGAGGCUUCUCCUGCUGGACUGGCUAACUUCAGUGUGGAGCAGAAAGAGCGGGGCAGGUCGUUGCUGCUCAACUGGGAUCCACCAAGUUCUCCAAAUGGCGUCGUCACGAUGUACAAUUUGUACAGUGAGGGCAACCUGGAGUUCAGCGGACUCUCACGCAACUUUCUGUUUCGUCGCUUGGAGCCGUGGACCACGUACACUCUUACUCUUGAAGCCUGUACGUCAGCAGGGUGCACACGUAGCUCUCCUCAGCAUGUCACCACUGCUGCCGCACCGCCAGCCUCGCAGCCCCCUCCAACACCUCUUUCCGUCAGUUCAGACCACGUGUCGCUCACCUGGGGACCUCCCGCUCAGCCGAAUGGGCCCAUUGACGAUUACUACUUACUGGGAAGAAGUAUGGAUCAGGUGGGGAGGGGUAGAAGCAGAGAGGAGGAUGCUCAAAGAGAGAAAGUGCUGUUCAGACAGUCUUCUCCACAAGAAAAUGACACUUUCUCCUACACAGUGAUUGGGUUGCGUCCUUGGACUCAGUAUGGGUUUGCCGUACGUUCUCACAACGCCGCCGGCCACGCCCACAGCUCCUGGUUAAGCGUGACAACCAGGCAGGCACCCCCUCGCGGCCUAGCCCCACCGACUGUGAGUCUCCUUCAGGGUCGACCCAGUGAAGUGUUGGUGUCAUGGACUCCUCCUCUGGAACCCAACGGUGUGCUCCAGUCUUAUAGGAUCCAGAGAAACAAUAUGAGCUUCUCCUUUAGCUUUGACCCGACGGUGCUCAGCUACACUGAUGAGGAUCUUCUUCCCUUUGCAAGCUAUAGCUAUUCAAUCAUAGCCUGCACAUCUGAGGGAUGCAUCAAAAGCCCUUACACUAACAUUACCACCUUAGAGGCUCCACCCGCCACUGUGGCGCCUCCCACGGUGAACUUCAUCACAUCCAACAGUAUGAACAUUUCCUGGACUAAGCCACCCACCCAGAAUGGGGAGGUGACUGAAUAUGUUCUCAAAGUAAACAGUGAGGAGGCUUAUCGUGGUAGAGACAUGAAGACCGUUCUGGUACGCUUCCUUCAUCCUCACAUGUCCUACCAGCUGGUACUGUUGGCGUGUACCAGUGGUGGAUGCACCGCCAGUGCAACAACAUCCACUGUGACAAAGGAGGCUCCUCCCUUGGACAUGCCAACCCCCACUCUAAAGGUCACUGGUCCUGAGUCAGUAGAAGUAAGCUGGGGACCACCACAGAAUCCCAAUGGCAUCAUCACAGGCUACGAACUCCGCAGAGAUGGCGAUGUAAUCUACGUGGGCCCCGAGACUCAUUACCACGACUUCACUCUUCUGCCCAGUGUGGAGUACAGCUACUUUGUCAGGGCCAACAACAGCAGAGGGGCAGUGAGCAGCGCCACAGCCAAAGCAAAGACUCACCCAGCGGCUCCUUCAGGUGUCGCCCCCCCCUUGUUGUCGCCUCUGGGACCCGCUCAGGUGAAAGUGGAGUGGAACAUUCCCGCCCGUCCUAAUGGAGAUAUUAUUAGCUACACAGUAUAUCACAGAGAGCCCGUCCAGCUCAGUGUAAGCAGCACUGUGUACACUCCAGAGGGCACAGUCUUCUCCGAGAGAUGCACUACUCUGCAGGGGCUCGCUCCCUACCGCAGGUAUGAGGUGAGGGUCGAGGCGUGCACCGAACUCGGCUGCUCCUCCAGCGACUGGUCAUCCAUCCUCACGCCAGAGGCUCCCCCCACUGGACAGGCGGCGCCACUGUUAGACCUGCAAGCUGACACCCACACAGGCCUCCAGACCACCUUUUUGCUUACCUGGGCCCCUCCAGCUCAGCCAAAUGGGAGGGCCCCGUGUUACGAGGUGUACCGUAGACUGGAGCUCACCACCAAUAGCCACAGAAAUGAUGCAGCGAAACUAGUUUAUAAUUACUCAUCCACAAGUUGCAAGGAUGAGGGACUCCUGCCAUUUACCACUUAUCAGUACCAGCUGUGGGCAGUGAAUUCAGCCGGCCGUUCUUCCAGUCAGUGGGUCAGCGGUACAACCGGACCUGCCCCGCCUGAGGGUGUCGCUCCGCCCACUAUCCGGCUCAUCUCAGCAACAACAGCCGUGGUGGAAAUGCAUCCUCCGGUCCAGCCCAAUGGCGUCGUCAGCCUUUACCGCGUGUUCUCGCUGGACCGCAACGAUGACGUUACUCUGCUCUCAGAGGGAAGAUCCCAUCAACAGACACUUUAUGGUUUACUGCCUUACACACAGUACAGGGUCGGAGUGGAGGCCUGCACCUGUUAUCAGUGUUGUAGCCAGGGACCAGUAGUUGCGCUGCGCACCCUAGCCGCACCCCCAGCCCGCCAGCCGCCGCCUCGACCCGUCACGCUGACCUCACGCUCUGCUCAGCUGGCCUGGUUUGAGCCUCUGGAGCCCAACGGAAUCAUCGAGAGCUGUGAGCUCCAUCGCAGAACAACCUGCCCGCAGCCCCCUCAGCCUGUGAGCCACCCUUGUGUUACUGGCCCAGCGGACAUUACAUUCUUUGCCAAGAGGCGCAGCUACAAUGUGACAGGUCUUCAGCCAUAUUCUGCUUAUGAAGUUAGAGUAGCGUGCUUUAACAACAUGGGCAGCACCGCCUCCAACUGGACCACCGUCAUCACGCUCAGUGAAGCUCCACAGUACGUGUCGCCGCUGUCGGUCGGCAGCAACCUGACAGUCAUUUGGCUGGACUGGACGGGCUCCUUCUCCCUGAACGACUACCUCAGGGAGUAUACGGUGACCGAGAGCCAGCUCAGGAUCUACAGUGGCUUCCACAGCUACCUCCAUGUUCCACGCACAUCACAGAAAACGCUGUCAUUUCAGGUGACUUGUACCACAGACAGUGGCAGUGCCACCACUCCCACUGUCAGAUAUAGCCCUGCUUCAGGCCUAGGUCCUGUUGAUCCAGAAGACACAAGUAAAGAGGGAGCGAGUAUGUCAGCAGCACCAAUCUACUCUGAGCUGUGGUUCAUUUUGCUGUUUGCGCUGCUGGGUCUCUUCUUGCUGGCCAUCCUGUUGGGCCUUCUGCUGCAAAGAACUCUGAGGAAGAAUCCUUCAGCCAGAGAUCGCCCUCCCCUGGUCAUGCUUCAGAAGAGCAGGAAGGCUGCAGGAGAAACAUACACGAGGCCUUAUCCCGACUUGUGUUCAAAACAUCAUUCCAGCGCUGGCCUUCAUCCCGAUCGCCACACAGGCCUGUCAGACACCAAGAUAGUGGGCGACGGCUCUGCAUUCCACCCUAUGUCCGUCCUGAGGGUCCCCAGGCAAACGGACCUGACUCAGGCCUACUCCCAUCAUCCCUUGCACCACAGCCUCACCCAGCUGAUUGACAGGAAGGCUCCGGUGACAGAAGAGGGCUGCUGGGACAACCCUCUGGAACCAGCGCUGUACGUGGAGGAAGACUUUGCAGAUGCCAUCAAGUCUUUAAGUUGUGUGAGAAAGGAGCACGCCACCUUCACUGACACACAUCUUUGAGAUGCUGCACCCAAUCAGGGAGCAUCAAGGCAAGUUGGAAAUGAAGAAAAGUGGCAGUGAGAAAGACAGCCUCACUCAAGGUCGCCCGUCAAGGGCGCGCGCGUGCACACACACAUUCAUGGGCUUGUUCGCAACUACUGUCAGCCACAGAGGGAGGAGAGGGAGGUGGUGAAAUGAGAGCGUGUGGAGUGAUUGUAAAGGACAGUGUGGCCCUGAGCUACACACACACACACACAGUUUUAUUAAAGUCAUAAAUCAUUGUGACGACACGCGCCGUCUGAAAAGAGGAGACUGUCUGAAAGAGGAGUUGAUUGUGCUGUCCCACAACGUACUCACAGAUGGACACUUCAAAAAGCCUUUGACCCCAGCUACCUUAAUCAUCUCCAACAGAAGUCGGUCACCAUGCUUGAUGGGUACAUAAAAUUGAAACAAAUCUGAAGAUCAUUGUUUUAUACAGUAUUCGUAGUUAGUACCUAGUCAUUUCUUACAGUGGUAACAACAACUGAUUACUGGUCUGACCUUUAACAUGGGAAACAUUUUGGAUAUUCUUUUAAAAUCAAUAAGGCUCUUUCUUGGAAAUAUAAGCGAAUGGUUGAAAGGCACGUUAUAAAAUAAGUUAUUUCAUUGAUACUCUAGAUUUCGGUUCAUGUUAAACGUAUUAUGUAUAUAUUCAUAUUUUUUAUUCCCCCGCUACCUUCCAAUCUUACCUUCAGCCUUAACUGCCACCCCCCCCCACCUGAGAUGACAUGCAUUUCGAAAUGUUAUUAAAUGUAUAUUCUAUUAAAGGGUGAGUUUGCAGUUUUAAAACUGCUAGCAGGAUUGGAAUGUAGCCUCGCUCCACUAAUCCCGCCCUACCCGAGUCACUGACCAAAGCCGCGCCGUCCGCUGUUGUGAACGUGCACGAGACGUGCCGUGUACUUAACAUGCUCUGGAAACAAACGUGACGUUAGCCACACCUGCUACGUUGUUUCCAUGACUCAUUCACAAUUAACUAUUACUAUAAUACUAAAUAGGAGCAGUUUGAAAUUAAAAUGUUGGGAAUUUACUAUAAAAAAAAAAAAAAAACGAGGUGAUGAAUUUAUAUGUCGAGCAAAAAUGUUAAUUAUUCCACUUUGCCCUGCUUCCGUUUGCAAAAUCUUAAACCCAGCUGACAGAUGUUUUUUUUUCCCGUUUGUUUGUUUUUUAAUAAAUGUAAAUACAUUUCCCAGAGGUGGAUUUUCUGCCAUAGUUUCAGCCAAGCUCCUGAAGCCCAAGGAAACAGGUCUGGUCGAGGCUGCAGGGGUGUACUGCUAUGCAUGCCCUCGAGUGCACGGCAAAUGUCUCUGAUUGGUUGUUUUUCCUAGGGUGCGGUUUGGUUUCUUAAAAAUCCAAUUUAUCAAUUUAUCCAAUCCAAUUGUAGAUACAAGAUGGGGCUAGAGGUUUUUUUGUUGUUGUUUUUUAACCCACGUUUUUACUAAUGCUUUUUAGAGCCUUUCUGCUUUUAAAUAUUUCUUGCGCUCUAUGCUGUUUUAAUUGUACUUUUAUUUUUCUCUUUGUUUUAAGUGUUUAUAGGCGGGUUUUUUUUCUUUUGUUUUAAAUGCUUUUAAUCAUGUAAAGCACAUUGGGUUACCUUGUUUACAUUUGCUUUGCUUUGCUAAUGUACUACUGUCAGGUUAGACUGACAGGUUUAACAAAUGUGGCCAAAAGUGUUUUGUUUUCUAAACUACAUACCCUCCCUUUUUUUAAAUGCCCUGUAAUUAUAUUGUAUUGAAUCAGAAUCGGUUAAUUGCAAUUGUCAGUGAAAGGUAUAUUCACAAAUGGGAUUUUUUUACUCAAUCUGAUGGUGCAAACAUAAAAAACAUAGAUGGCACUCAUCAAAAUAAAAUAUAAAUGGACUCAAAAGAAGGAAAAGGAAUUUAUCAUAGUUGUGUUUUUUAAGUUAUUACAUUAACUGUACCUUCCAAUGUGACUUUAAACUUUAACUGGCAUAUUGGAUGCCUUUACAAUGUAAUGGAUUUGGAUUGAAAGUGGGGGGAAGGGGACAACUGCUACCAAACCACUUGACUGCCUUCUAAUUCUUUAUUGGAGUGCCCUAAAUGUCUUUAGUAUUUAGAGUUUUGGGUAACUGUAGGUGACUCAAAAUGGUAUUUCUAUAUAACAUUUCAAUAUUUAUUUUUAUAACACAUUUAUUUCAUCAUGUAAACACAAUCAGAGAACAACUUGGAAUGUUAAUACAUUGAUACAUUUAUUAUGUACUCGUAUAUAAAAUAAAAGUAUGUGUGUUCAUAGUGCAAAUGCAGUCAGGUCCAAUAGCAUCCGUUAUAUACAGUUUAUAUAUAGCUAUGAUUCUCAACAAUACAAGGACAACAAAACAUCACAGAUAUAAAUCCAUUUUAGUAGGAUUU